rnacentral:snoRNA from 1 species
AAAACAUUUGUAGCAGGGCUUAUGUGGCUACAAAACCUAGAAAGAGAUCUUAAUAUUGUGACCACUGACUGAAGUUUUCCACAGAAUGACAUAAUCACCCAAUAAAGCUCUAUUUUCCUGAGAAGAUACUUAC